rnacentral:rRNA from 1 species
UACAGAGGUCUCAAGCGUUGUUCGGGUUCAUUGGGCGUAAAGGGUGCGUAGGCGGCGCGGUAAGUCGGGUGUGAAAUCUCGGAGCUCAACUCCGAAACUGCAUUCGAUACUGCCGUGCUUGAGGACUGGAGAGGAGACUGGAAUUUACGGUGUAGCGGUGAAAAGCGUAGAUAUCGUAAGGAAGACCAGUGGCGAAGGCGGGUCUCUGGACAGUUCCUGACACUGAGACACGAAGGCCAGGGGAGCAAACGGG